rnacentral:rRNA from 1 species
GACGAACGCUGGCGGCGUGCUUAACACAUGCAAGUCGAACGGAAAGGCCCUGCUUUUGUGGUGUGCUCGAGUGGCGAACGGGUGAGUAACACGUGAGUAACCUGCCCUUGACUUUGGGAUAACUUCAGGAAACUGGGGCUAAUACCGGAUAGGAGCUCCUGCUGCAUGGUGGGGGUUGGAACGUUUCGGCGGUUGGGGAUGGACUCGCGGCUUAUCAGCUUGUUGGUUGGGUAGUGGCUUACCCAGGCUUUGACGGGUAGCCGGCCUGAGAGGGUGACCGGCCACAUUGGGACUGAGAUACGGCCCAGACUCCUACGGGAGGCAGCAGGGGGAAAUAUUACACAAUGAGCGGAAGCCUGAUGCAGCAACGCCGCGUGCGGGAUGACGGCCUUCGGGUUGUAAACCGCUUUCGCCUGUGACGAAGCGGGAGUGACGGUAAUGGGUAAAGAAGCACCGGCUAACUACGUG